UNCAACGUGUCAAGCAAAGUACAUGGUGCAC
rnacentral:piRNA from 1 species